rnacentral:rRNA from 1 species
CUGAAGCUCAACAGCUAGCUCAAACAUACACUUUUAGCCAUCAAAUAUAUACAAAUCCUAAGACAUAAAACAUCUUAGCUAAACCAUUUUACCUCUUUAGUAUGGGAGACAGAAAAAGAAUCAGACGCAAUAGUUAAAGUACCGUAAGGGAAUGCUGAAAAAGAAAUGAAAAAAUCCAGUAAAGCACUAAAAAGCAAAGUUAACCCCUUGUACCUUUUGCAUCAUGUUCUAGCAAGAAUCUUUUAAGCAAAACGUAUUUUAGUUUAAAGCCCCGAAACCAGGUGAGCUACUCCAAGACAGCUUUUACAGGAGCUAACCCGUCUCUGUGGCAAAAGAGUGGGAAGAUCUUUGAGUAGAGGUGAAAGACCUACCGAACCUUGUUAUAGCUGGUUGCCUGAGAAUUGAAUAGUAGUUCAGCCCUUAGCCUUCUCCCAUUCAUCUGUGAUCUACACAUAAGUGAUAAAAGAAAUUUAAGGAGUUAUUCAAAGGAGGAACAGCCCCUUUGAAGUAAGAAACAACUUUUUUAGAAGGGUAAAGAUUAUAAGCCUUAACAUCUAAGGUAACAUAUUUUUGUGGGCCUAAAAGCAGCCAGCAUAAGAGAAAGCGUUAAAGCUCAAAUAUAACAUCUAACCAAUAAUACCAAAAAACCAUCUCAUCCCUCUAACCCAUAUCAGACCUUCCCAUAUUCCUAUGGGAGAGAUAAUGCUAGUAUGAGUAAUCAGAGGGCUUAUCCCUCUCCUAUCACAAGUGUAACCCGGAACGGAUUCACCACCGGAGAUUAAACGAUCUCAAUAAAAGAGAGCACAGGGCUAAAAAAAGAAAACAAGAAAAUCACCCUCCUCCAAUCGUUAGCCCUACACUGGUGUAUUUGUAAGGAAAGACUAAAAGAAAAAGAAGGAACUCGGCAAACAUAUUUAAGCCUCGCCUGUUUACCAAAAACAUCGCCUUUUGAGAGUAAAAAAUAAAAGGUCUCGCCUGCCCUGUGACAUGAGUUUAACGGCCGCGGUAAUUUGACCGUGCGAAGGUAGCGCAAUCACU